ACGGGUGAGUAACACGUAUCCAACCUGCCGUCUACUCUUGAACAGCCUUCUGAAAGGAAUAUAAUACAAGAUGGCAUCAUGAGUCCGCAUGUUCACAUGAUUAAAGGUAUUCCGGUAGACGAUGGGGAUGCGUUCCAUUAGAUAGUAAGCGGGGUAACGGCCCACCUAGUCUUCGAUGGAUAGGGGUUCUGAGAGGAAGGUCCCCCACAUUGGAACUGAGACACGGUCCAAACUCCUACGGGAGGCAGCAGUGAGGAAUAUUGGUCAACGGGCGAGAGCCUGAACCAGCCAAGUAGCGUGAAGGAUGACUGCCCUAUGGGUUGUAAACUUCUUUUAUAAAGGAAUAAAGUCGGGUAUGCAUACCCGUUUGCAUGUACUUUAUGGAUAAGGAUCGGCUAACUCCGUGCCAGCAGCCGCGGUAAUACGGAGGAUCCGAGCGUUACCCGGAUUUAUUGGGUUUAAAGGGAGCGUAGACGGAUGUUUAAGUCAGCUGUGAAAGUUCGCGGCUCAACCGUAAAACUGCAGUUGAUACUGGAUACCUUGAGUGCAGUUGAGGCAAGCGGAAUUCGCGGCGUAGGCGGUGAAAUGCUUAGAUAUCACGAAUAACUCCGAUCGCGAAAGCAGCCUGCUAAGGGUGCAACCGACAUUGAGGCUCGAAAGAGUGGGUAUCAAACAAGAUUAGAUACCCUGGUAGUCCACACGGUAAACCAUGAAUACUCGCUGUUCGCCAUAUACAGCAAGGCGGCCAAGCGAUAGCGUUAAGUAUUCCACCGGGGGAGUACGCCGGCAACGGUGAAAGUCAAAGGAAUGGACGGGGGCCCGCACAAGCGGAGGAACAUGUGGUUUAAUUCGAUGAUACGCGAGGAACCUUACCCGGGCUUAAAUUGCAGAUGAAUUACGGUGAAAUCGGUAAGCCGCAAGGCAUCUGUGAAGGUGCUGCAUGGUUGUCGUCAGCUCGUGCCGUGAGGUGUCGGCUUAAGUGCCAUAACGAGCGCAACCCUUGUUGUCAGUUACUAACAGGUUUCGCUGAGGACUCUGACAAGACUGCCAUGGUAAGAGGGGAGGAAGGUGGGGAUGACGUCAAAUCAGCACGGCCCUUACGUCCGGGGCUACACACGGGUUACAAUGGGGGGUACAGAGGGCCGCUACCACGCGAGUGGAUGCCAAUCCCAAAAACCUCUCUCAGUUCGGACUGGAGUCUGCAACCGGACUCCACGAAGCUGGAUUCGGUAGUAAUCGCGCAUCAGCCACGGCGCGGUGAAUACGUUCCCGGGCCUUGUACACACCGCCCGUCAAGCCAUGGGAGCCGGGGGUACGUGAAGUGCGUAACCGGGAGGAGCGCCCUAGGGUAAAACUGGUGACUGG
rnacentral:rRNA from 1 species